rnacentral:rRNA from 1 species
UACGUAGGUGACCAGCGUUGUCCGGAUUUACUGGGCGUAAAGAGCGCGCAGGCGGUCGUUCAAGUCGAGUGUGAAAGCCCCCGGCUCAACUGGGGAGGGUCACUCGAUACUGAUCGACUGGAAGGCAGGAGAGGGAAGCGGAAUUCCCGGUGUAGUGGUGAAAUGCGCAGAUAUCGGGAAGAACACCCGUGGCGAAGGCGGCUCUCUGGGACGGUACUGACGCUGAGACGCGAAAGCGUGGGGAGCGAACAGG